rnacentral:rRNA from 1 species
AACGAACGCUGGCGGCAUGCCUAACACAUGCAAGUCGAACGAGACCUUCGGGUCUUGUGGCGCAUGGUUGCGUAACGCGUGGGAACCUGCCCUUAGGUUCGGCAUACCUCCCCGAAAGGGGUGCUAAUACCGGAUCAUGUCUUCUGACCAAAGAUUUAUCGCCUUUGGAUGGGCCCGCGUUGGAUUAGCUAGUUGGUAGGGUAAAAGCAUACCAAGGCGACGAUCCAUAACUGGUCUGAGAGGAUGGUCAGCCACACUGGGACUGGGACACGGCCCAGAAUCCUACGGGAGGCAGCAGUGGGGAAUAUUGGACAAUGGGCGAAAGCCUGAUCCAGCAAUGCCGCGUGAGUGAUGAAGGCCUUAGGGUUGUAAAGCGCUUUUACCCGGGAUGAUAAUGACAGUACCGGGAGAAUAAGCUCCGGCUAACUCCGUG